GACGAACGCUGGCGGCGUGCCUAAUACAUGCAAGUAGAACGCUGAAACUUGGUGCUUGCACCGAGCGGAUGAGUUGCGAACGGGUGAGUAACGCGUAGGUAACCUGCCUGGUAGCGGGGGAUAACUAUUGGAAACGAUAGCUAAUACCGCAUAAGAGUAGAUGUUGCAUGACAUUUGCUUAAAAGGUGCAAUUGCACCACUACCAGAUGGACCUGCGUUGUAUUAGCUAGUUGGUGGGGUAACGGCUCACCAAGGCGACGAUACAUAGCCGACCUGAGAGGGUGAUCGGCCACACUGGGACUGAGACACGGCCCAGACUCCUACGGGAGGCAGCAGUAGGGAAUCUUCGGCAAUAGACGGAAGUCUGACCGAGCAACGCCGCGUGAGUGAAGAAGGUUUUCGGAUCGUAAAGCUCUGUUGUAAGAGAAGAACGAGUGUGAGAGUGGAAAGUUCACACUGUGACGGUAUCUUACCAGAAAGGGACGGCUAACUACGUG
rnacentral:rRNA from 1 species